rnacentral:rRNA from 1 species
ACUCAAAGGAAUUGACGGGGGCUCACACAAGCGGUGGAGCAUGUGGCUUAAUUCGAGGCUACGCGCAGAACCUUAUCCCGGGCUUGACAUGCACGGAUUAGCCGGCGGAAACGUCGGCGACGCGCAAGUGGAACGUGCACAGGUGCUGCAUGGCUGUCGUCAGCUCGUGCCGUGAGGUGUUGGGUUAAGUCCCGUAACGAGCGAAACCCCUGUGAUUAGUUGCCAGCGGGUCACGCCGGGCACUCUAAUCAGACCGCCGGCGUCAAGCCGGAGGAAGGCGGGGACGACGUCAAGUCCUCAUGGCCCUUAUGCCCGGGGCUGCACACGUGCUACAAUGGGGCGGACAGAGCGUCGCAACGCCGCGAGGCCGAGCCAAUCGCCGAAACCGCCCCCCAGUUCGGAUCGCGGGCUGCAACCCGCCCGCGUGAAGCCGGAAUCGCUAGUAAUCGCGGAUCAGCACUGCCGCGGUGAAUGGGUUCCUGAGCCUUGUACACACCGCCCGU